AUGAACGCUAGCUACAGGCUUAACACAUGCAAGUCGAGGGGCAGCAUGGUCUUAGCUUGCUAAGGCCGAUGGCGACCGGCGCACGGGUGAGUAACACGUAUCCAACCUGCCGUCUACUCUUGGACAGCCUUCUGAAAGGAAGAUUAAUACAAGAUGGCAUCAUGAGUCCGCAUGUUCACAUGAUUAAAGGUAUUCCGGUAGACGAUGGGGAUGCGUUCCAUUAGAUAGUAGGCGGGGUAACGGCCCACCUAGUCUUCGAUGGGUAGGGGUUCUGAGAGGAAGGUCCCCCACAUUGGAACUGAGACACGGUCCAAACUCCUACGGGAGGCAGCAGUGAGGAAUAUUGGUCAAUGGGCGAGAGCCUGAACCAGCCAAGUAGCGUGAAGGAUGACUGCCCUAUGGGUUGUAAACUUCUUUUAUAAAGGAAUAAAGUCGGGUAUGGAUACCCGUUUGCAUGUACUUUAUGAAUAAGGAUCGGCUAACUCCGUGCCAGCAGCCGCGGUAAUACGGAGGAUCCGAGCGUUAUCCGGAUUUAUUGGGUUUAAAGGGAGCGUAGAUGGAUGUUUAAGUCAGUUGUGAAAGUUUGCGGCUCAACCGUAAAAUUGCAGUUGAUACUGGAUAUCUUGAGUGCAGUUGAGGCAGGCGGAAUUCGUGGUGUAGCGGUGAAAUGCUUAGAUAUCACGAAGAACUCCGAUUGCGAAGGCAGCCUGCUAAGCUGCAACUGACAUUGAGGCUCGAAAGUGUGGGUAUCAAACAGGAUUAGAUACCCUGGUAGUCCACACGGUAAACGAUGAAUACUCGCUGUUUGCGAUAUACAGCAAGCGGCCAAGCGAAAGCGUUAAGUAUUCCACCUGGGGAGUACGCCGGCAACGGUGAAACUCAAAGGAAUUGACGGGGGCCCGCACAAGCGGAGGAACAUGUGGUUUAAUUCGAUGAUACGCGAGGAACCUUACCCGGGCUUAAAUUGCAGAUGAAUUACGGUGAAAGCCGUAAGCCGCAAGGCAUCUGUGAAGGUGCUGCAUGGUUGUCGUCAGCUCGUGCCGUGAGGUGUCGGCUUAAGUGCCAUAACGAGCGCAACCCUUGUUGUCAGUUACUAACAGGUUCCGCUGAGGACUCUGACAAGACUGCCAUCGUAAGAUGUGAGGAAGGUGGGGAUGACGUCAAAUCAGCACGGCCCUUACGUCCGGGGCUACACACGUGUUACAAUGGGGGGUACAGAGGGCCGCUACCACGCGAGUGGAUGCCAAUCCCCAAAACCUCUCUCAGUUCGGACUGGAGUCUGCAACCCGACUCCACGAAGCUGGAUUCGCUAGUAAUCGCGCAUCAGCCACGGCGCGGUGAAUACGUUCCCGGGCCUUGUACACACCGCCCGUCAAGCCAUGGGAGCCGGGGGUACCUGAAGUGCGUAACCGCGAGGAGCGCCCUAGGGUAAAACUGGUGACUGGGGCU
rnacentral:rRNA from 1 species